AGAGUUUGAUCCUGGCUCAGGAUGAACGCUGGCGGCGUGCUUAACACAUGCAAGUCGAACGAACCUUCGGGUUAGUGGCGGACGGGUGAGUAACGCGUGAGAAUCUGCCCUCAGGAGGGGGAUAACGGUUGGAAACGACCGCUAAUACCCCAUAUGCCGAUAGGUGAAAUGAAUUUCGCCUGAGGAUGAGCUCGCGUCUGAUUAGCUUGUUGGUGAGGUAAUGGCUCACCAAGGCUUCGAUCAGUAGCUGGUCUGAGAGGAUGAUCAGCCACACUGGGACUGAGACACGGCCCAGACUCCUACGGGAGGCAGCAGUGGGGAAUUUUCCGCAAUGGGCGAAAGCCUGACGGAGCAACGCCGCGUGAGGGACGAAGGCCUCUGGGCUGUAAACCUCUUUUCUCAAGGAAGAAGAUAUGACGGUACUUGAGGAAUAAGCCACGGCUAAUUCCGUGCCAGCAGCCGCGGUAAUACGGGAGUGGCAAGCGUUAUCCGGAAUUAUUGGGCGUAAAGCGUCCGCAGGCGGCCUUUCAAGUCUGCUGUUAAAGCGUGGAGCUUAACUCCAUCAUGGCAGUGGAAACUGAAAGGCUAGAGUAUGGUAGGGGCAGAGGGAAUUCCCGGUGUAGCGGUGAAAUGCGUAGAUAUCGGGAAGAACACCAGUGGCGAAGGCGCUCUGCUGGGCCAUUACUGACGCUCAUGGACGAAAGCCAGGGGAGCGAAAGGGAUUAGAUACCCCUGUAGUCCUGGCCGUAAACGAUGAACACUAGGUGUCGGGGGAAUCGACCCCUUCGGUGUCGUAGCUAACGCGUUAAGUGUUCCGCCUGGGGAGUACGCACGCAAGUGUGAAACUCAAAGGAAUUGACGGGGGCCCGCACAAGCGGUGGAGUAUGUGGUUUAAUUCGAUGCAACGCGAAGAACCUUACCAGGGUUUGACAUCUUGAGAACCUCUUAGAAAUUUGAGGGUGCCUUCGGGAAUUCAAUGACAGGUGGUGCAUGGCUGUCGUCAGCUCGUGUCGUGAGAUGUUGGGUUAAGUCCCGCAACGAGCGCAACCCACGUUUUUAGUUGCCAGCAUUUAGUUGGGCACUCUAGAAAGACCGCCGGUGAUAAACCGGAGGAAGGUGUGGAUGACGUCAAGUCAUCAUGCCCCUUACACCCUGGGCUACACACGUACUACAAUGCUACGGACAAAGGGCAGCAAACUCGCGAGAGCUAGCAAAUCCCAUAAACCGUGGCUCAGUUCAGAUCGUAGGCUGCAACUCGCCUACGUGAAGUAGGAAUCGCUAGUAAUCGCAGGUCAGCAUACUGCGGUGAAUACGUUCCCGGGCCUUGUACACACCGCCCGUCACACCAUGGAAGUUGGCCAUGCCCGAAGUCGUUACUCCAACCCUUGUGGAGGAGGACGCCGAAGGUGGGGCUAAUGACUGGGGUGAAGUCGUAACAAGGUAGCCGUACCGGAAGGUGCGGCUG
rnacentral:rRNA from 1 species